UGGGGAAUUUUGGACAAUGGGCGCAAGCCUGAUCCAGCCAUGCCGCGUGCAGGAAGAAGGCCUUCGGGUUGUAAACUGCUUUUGUACGGAACGAAAAGGUGCCUUCUAAUAAAGGGCGCUCAUGACGGUACCGUAAGAAUAAGCACCGGCUAACUACGUGCCAGCAGCCGCGGUAAUACGUAGGGUGCGAGCGUUAAUCGGAAUUACUGGGCGUAAAGCGUGCGCAGGCGGUUUUGUAAGACAGAGGUGAAAUCCCCGGGCUCAACCUGGGAACUGCCUUUGUGACUGCAAGGCUGGAGUGCGGCAGAGGGGGAUGGAAUUCCGCGGGUAGCAGUGAAAUGCGUAGAUAUGCGGAGGAACACCGAUGGCGAAGGCAAUCCCCUGGGCCUGCACUGACGCUCAUGCACGAAAGCGUGGGGAGCAAACA
rnacentral:rRNA from 1 species